rnacentral:rRNA from 1 species
AUACGGAGGGUGCAAGCGUUAUUCGGAAUCACUGGGCGUAAAGGACGCGUAGGCGGGUUGGCAAGUCAGAUGUGAAAUCCUACAGCUUAACUGUAGAACUGCAUUUGAAACUGCUAACCUAGAGUAUGGGAGGGGGAGAUGGAAUUAGUGGUGUAGGGGUAAAAUCCGUAGAUAUCACUAGGAAUACCGAAAGCGAAGGCGAUCUCCUGGAACAUAACUGACGCUAAGGCGUGAAAGCGUGGGGAGCAAACAGGAUUAGAAUCCCCAGUAGUCC